CCUACGGGAGGCAGCAGUGAGGAAUAUUGGUCAAUGGGCGCGAGCCUGAACCAGCCAAGUCGCGUGAGGGAGGACGGCCCUACGGGUUGUAAACCUCUUUUGCCGGGGAGCAACGGGCGUCACGUGUGGCGCCACUGAGAGUACCCGGAGAAAAAGCAUCGGCUAACUCCGUGCCAGCAGCCGCGGUAAUACGGAGGAUGCGAGCGUUAUCCGGAUUUAUUGGGUUUAAAGGGUGCGUAGGCGGGCUGUUAAGUCAGCGGUCAAAUGUCGGGGCUCAACCCCGGCCUGCCGUUGAAACUGGCGGC
rnacentral:rRNA from 1 species